UGAGAGUGUCUCUUUAAGUAUUCUAGUCAUGGUUUCCAAUGUCUGUUAAAAAUAUAUGCAUUUCUUGAUUGUUAUAUAAGAUCACAUAUAGCAAUUAAAAAUAUAUCUAAAUAGGUAUUGUGAAAAUUAACAAUUGAAAUGUAAUUAGGUUGUCGGAACUCAUUGAACUAAUGGAUGGAAUCAAAGAUGGCCAAGAUUCAAGAAUAAAUAGUAUUUUGGUAGCAAUGAUAUGACAAAUGAACAAAGAAAGAGUAUAUUCAUAAUAUCAUUAAACAACUAUCAUGGCUUUUGACAUGGAAAGUCGAAAAUGCAGUCCCUCACCUUUAUGCCAUGUGGAGUGUACGUGGGGUUGUAAACACCGCUGUCUAGUAUGAGGUUCACAUUGUGUAUCAAGGGGUCGUCAAGUUAUAGCUCCAGUAUUAUGUAGUGGUGGAGAAAUUUCUUUAAGUUGUCGAAACUUACUAGAAACACAAAGCAUAAACUAGCUUAGAAUAGAGAGUUGCUAAGACCUACUUAAAAUGCUGGAGAAAUUUCUCCAUUCAAUGCAUCAUGCUGUAAGAAAAUUGCUUCCUCACAAAUUUGGAAUUAUUUAAAAACUCUUCCAUGGCCGGUUAGCCCUUAAAUAGGAAUUAUCAAAAAAUAAAAUUUGCAUUGCAAUUUUGGUUACUUAUUUAGUUUAACCAGUCUACAGUAUGCGAUCAAUUAGACAAUUGAAUUGUGGGAAUGCACUGGUAGCAUGUGGCACAUGUGGCACAUUCUUGCAGUGAUUUGAACAUUUACAAUUACUCACCGUGGUGUGUAAGCUAGUGAAGAGCUUACUAGAUUCCACUGUUCUGUAAACAUAAUAAAAAUGCUUUAUUGGAUAUUGUUAUUUUAUUUUGUCUUGAUGUAAAGUGCUUUGAUAAUACAUGAUUGACUAGUAUACUGAUCUUUAAUAUUGACUAAUAAACAUAGUAACAUGGUCAUAAUUUCCUUUUGGAAUGAGACUCAAUGAUGAUAUGAAGUCCUGAAUUAAAGCCAUAUUGCUGGGAUUGAUUUUUAUUUUUCUAUUUUAAUUUAAUUUCAAAGGCUAUUAAAGAAGAGCAAAAGGAACCUAUUCCAAAGGUAGGACAGACAGAAAGCAAGGUCAGUAUUUUCCUUCUUCGACUGUUAAUUUUGUUAUAAUUAAUUUUUAUGAUACUUUUAUGCCAAGAAUUUCUUUGGGCUUUGCACACCAGCACACAUGGAUACAUGUAUUCAUAAACAUGGCUCUCUUUCAUCCUAAGAGGACGCUAUAAUUACAUAUAUAUUUUCAAGUUGCUUUUAUAGACUUCUAAUUGAAGUAGUAUUCUGUAGUUAUUGUAUUGUUGAUUUUGGAAUUUCUUAUGAAGGUUGAUAAGAAGGAAAAGGAGGUGAGUGUUUUCCUUCGUUGGCUGUUUAUUAUUGCUUCGGCUUACCUCUGUUCCGUCUAUUUUGAUUUCUUAAUUCGAUAGUCAGUGCCAGUGAAACGGAUUCACUUUGGUCUAUUGUUUUCUCAAGCACGUGAACAAAUUAGCAUUCAAAAUGGUUCUGGGGUUUUUCAUCAUAUUUUCUCAUUGAUGUUAUAAAUUCUGACUGGAUAAAUCAUUAUUUCUCUUGAUUUUUUUUUCCUUUUCAGGCUGUUGAUGAAAUGCAAAAUGGAACUCUUUCAGAAAGGGUGGAGCCGAAAGAAUCCAAGGUUACAAUUUUUGUUUUCAAACCUCUUCUUUUCCCCUUUUUUCUGUUUAGUAUAAACUAUGAACCAACACCUAUGUUAAUAUGAUCGUACUACCCUUUCCUUCCCUUUCCUAAAAGGAAAGUGCAAUCAUUUGUCAAUUCUAGAAUUGAUGCUUAAUGACCUCUGAGUUAAAGUAAUUCUGCAUUCAUGAUUGACUUUUGUACUUCUUGUUACAGUUUGUUGAGAAGAGAGAAGGUUCUCCUUCAAAAAUGGUGGAUCAGACAGAACGUAAGGUCAGCAUUUUUUUGGCUAGAAUCUAAUAUACUGCUAUUGAGGAUUUCAUAGUCUUAUCCUGAAAGCCUUAGAGUCAGUUAGUUCUGCUUUGCAGCCCGUUUGUUUCCAAGUUAUAAACGAUUCUGACUAUGUAUAAAUUGUCCGUCCACUUAUUGUUGCAUUUAUUAAAGGAUUAUAGGCAAGGUCUGCGGAACCGUUAUGAACCGCCCGGUUUGAGGUGUCCUAGGCCAUAUCGGCGGUGGACCGGAAUGGUUCAGCCAUUGAUACCGAGACAGCUCGCCGGAGGGAAAGAAGGAGAAGAGGAAGAGAGAGAGAGAGAGCAGGGAAGGGAGGAAGAGGAAGAGGAAGCAAGAGAGGCCGGCCGACGGAGGCCGGGGAGCCUUCACGUAGAGGAGGCGGAGGCCGGGGAGACGCGGAGGCGGGGCUCUGCCUCCGGGCCCUUGUUUCGAAUGUUAUGUUCGAAACAGGGGCCCCGAAGGGGGGGCCCUUUUAUUUUUGCUUUUUUUAAGUUGAAGUCAGCAAAAUUAAGUGAAGUCGGCCUCCUCCGUGCGGAGUCUCCCCAGGCUUCAUUGGUCAGCCCUGACUCCCUCUCUCUUCCCUGGUCUUCCUCUCCCUCCCUCCCCCGCUCUCUCUCUUUUCCUUUCUCGUUCUCUCUCUCUUCCAUUGUAGAAGAUGUGUCGGUAUGAGCCCGGCACGACACAAUGCGGGCCCAUGUUGGCUCGUCCCGCCAGCCAACCAGUACGGUGCCCGAUACCAGUUCCGCUGUCCUUGAUUGCAGGAGUAAGUUUUGGCAUGCUAUGAUGCAGUGGCUUAUUAAAGAAUAAAUAUGUUAUUCAAGAACAAUACUAUUACUUGCUUAUUUUUAAUAAGUGAAUAAAAUUAUGAGAUUUAUAUUCCCUUCCUUUUGUGGUCUCUCAAGAAUAAAAUUAAAAUGGGUGGGUUUGGUUGAGUGGGAUUGAAAUUGGGUGUGUUUAACAGGUGCUGGUUUCAUUGAGACCUGAGAUGUGCCAGCAUCAUAAGACUGCUUGACCUAGAGUCGCUUGACCCAAGUUUAGGUCUAUGAGUUUCUCUUAUCAUAUAAAAAGAUUGAAAGAAUAAAGUAAUAGGCAAGUGACAACAGAGGAAGAGGAAAAAAGAAAGGGGAUGAAGAGGAGAAAACAUGGAGGAAGAGAGUGGCCACACAGGUUUGGCUGUUCUGUACAGCUACCUCUCUAUUUGUGACAAGUGGAGGAAGAAAGACCUCUCUACUUACUGUGACAAAUUACCUAAACAGUUAAUUGGGGCAGUUGGAACCCAUUUAUUGCCCACAUUUUAUUUCCCAAUACAGUCAAGCAAAAGGUUAGGAGAUUCUUUUGAAGAUCUCAUUUUAUUGCCCACCUUGGUUUCCAUAGUCCUCUAUUGGUUCCAUUUCAGUUUAGGCACCAACUCUUUCACCUUCUUUGCCUACUUGCUCCUCACUUAAACCAUUUUAGUUUUACUGCACAUCCAUCUGAACUUGAUGCAAGGAAUACUGAACCGGCCCGUACCGGUCGGUUCAGCCCGUACUGAACCGGUACCGGCUUUGACCGGUCCAGUUCGGCAUUAAAAAUCGGUACCGGUCCGUACUGGUCCAAAACAGCCAACCAUACUGCCCAUACCGGCCUGUACCGGCCCGAACCGGCCAACCGUACCGGUCCGUACCGGUUCUAAAUAUUUUUUGGGUUUUUGGAUGGGUGAACCAGGCCGAACCAGUGGUACCGAUUUGAACCGGUACCGGUUCGGUGACCCUUGAUCUGAUGCAACUUAGACCUAGGAUCUGCUCAUCCAAGAUAAGGUUAAAAUGCAUGGGAAACAACACUAUAAAGUUUGCAUAGGAUAUGUGACUCAUCUGUAUCAUUACUUUGAGAAGAAAACAGGCCUCCGAUUGGCUGUUUAGGCCAUCCAUGGGUGUUAUUGCUGUUGAAAAUUCAUCUUGUUAGUCUUAUAAUCAGGACUUGGAGGGACGUGCAGGCCCAUAUGGUCAUCUGAAGGAUUAUUUGCUAUUUGCAUUGUGUAGUUGCAGCAAAUCAAUCUUAAAGGGACCAAAUUGGUAUUUCAAAAAUUGGUUGGGUUGGAAUUCAGGGAGCAGCUAGAUGGUAUUUUUCUCCUUUUUCUUCUAAUAUGCUUGAAGAUUAAUUUUUUUCUUAUAUGUUUUCUCUCUUUUUUUCUAAGGAGUCCUAAGUGAACUCAACUUGAUAAGUGUAGGUUUGCCCUUGUCAGUAAAAGAGGUUCAAGUCUGGCCACAAAAGGGAUCACGCUUAUUUUUUUCAAAAAGGAAAAAUAAAUAAAAUUCUGAUUUGAUGUACUUUAGUAGUGUUGUCUUGAAAGGAAACUUUAUAAUGCAUUUGGUCCUUUGUGUUAUAGACUUCUGCUUUGCUGCACUUCUGUACUGUUCCUAAAUUUCUUUCUGAAUUUACUGUGAAAGGCUACUGAAGAAAAGGGAAAAGAAACACUUUCUGAAAGGGGUGGGCAAACAGAAUGCAAGGUGAGCGUUUUGCUUGGUUAACAGUUUCUCAUUCAGUAUUUACUUGCCAAUGUUAUUGAAUAUGUUGACAUUGAUCUUCUACAUCUCAAACUUCUAUUUUCUAAAUUCCACUGAAAUCUAGCAUAAUUCCUUAUGCUUCCCCCAGUCACGAUUCUGUUUUGCAUGACUAAGCUACCUUCCAAAAUCUUCAAAUUCUUUAAGUCCUGUCUGUCUGCCAGAUCAAGGACUUUAAAAGUAGGUCCUCAUAUGUGAUGGUACUUGAAAUGAAAAGCUUCUGAAUAAGAAUAUAAGACUACUGUGUUCUUAAACUCUCAAAAAGUUACUAAUUAACAAUGUAUACUUAACACAGAUUUGGGGAACUGUAUUUGUUCAUUAAAAAAAAAUCUCAUCAUUGACAAGCUUGAUAGAGCAGCUCCUCGCAAGAGGGGUGAAGUAUAGCAUGGUAACUGGACUUGGUUUUAUUGGUAUUGAUGGAACCCUAGCUGUCCAUAGAACAUCUAUUCUACUACUAAAUUCCAUGCAUCUUGCAUCCUUCAGGUUCCAAAUGGUGUGUUCCACUUUCAUUCAUAGCAUGUGCCAAAAUCUAGUAUACAAACAGGACUAUUUGAAGUAAACAAUGAAUAUAUCCUUUUAUAUGAUUGUACACUCUAAAGAAGUUCUGAGGAGGUUUGACAUCCAUUUUUUUGUCUGUUAAGGGAGAAAGUACUACUGUUAUAGUUGAAGUUUCUAGCUAAAAUGGUAGGUUGUAUUAAGGUUCGCAAUCUUGGUACUAGAUGCGUAUCGGUACCAUCUAGGUGUAGUGUCAGUAUGCUCAGUAUGGGGUUCAGUUUGGCAUACUGAUACUUGAUAUGCCCCCUAAACAUCAUACUGGUUCAGUUAUGAUAUGCCCGAUAAGCACCAGUAUGGACCAGUACGGCCUACCAUGUGUUGUACGCUCUAUUUUUACUCUUGAUUUAUGACCUUUUCAUCUAUCUCUUGCUUCGAAUUUCAGCAUUCAGCUAUUUUAUGGGCGCUCUCGUAGGAGUGUAUUCCUUGAAAUGCUUGUAAUUCAUCAAUAUUUCCAUAAUCAUGUUAGCCAAAAAAAUAACCUUAUUUUUACACAUAGGAAGUAUACCUUUUGUUUCAAGUUGAUUUGGCCUAUGCUCAUGUCAGAGAAACUUUACAUAGGGUGAAUUUUGGAAGCACACUACUAUUUGUAGGAUGUUUUUUCAUGUUUUACGUAGUUGGUUUGCUGGCUUUUCCAAUUACUCUAACUUGUUUCACAAUUUUCUGAUACAAUUACUCUAACUUGUUUCACAAUUUUCUGAUAUGGGAAAUGGAUGUGUUGAUUUAGUCAUGGUAAAAUCUGCAAGAUUGCUGAUUGUAAUUUGCUUCUCAUGGAAAUAUUCAAGUAAUGCAAGUGCGACAACUUAAAAUUGAAUCUGUAUAGCAAGAGACUGUUGACCUAAAGUUGGCAUAGAUCUUUCUCUGUCAUCUCCUAGUUUUUUAUCCCUAAUUACCUUUCAAAGAAUCUCUCAUCAAUGGUUUCUACUUUCUAAUGACUUUGAGAAUAUUCUUCUGCCAGGUUUGACUUUUUUGGUUGAAUCUCAUUGGCAUAAGAUAGAAGCUAUUUUUUUUCUCCUAGAUUUUUAUCCUUAAUUAUCUUUUUGCAUGAUAUUCCAAAAGACAUUAAUCAAAGGAUCUACCAGCAGUGAUUAAUUUUCAUUUUUAACCCUAACAAGCUCAAGCACUUUAAGUUGUAUGUUGUCCAAUUAUUUUAUUUUGCUUUGUUUCAUGGGUUCUUGUGCGAAGCAUUUCUCAUGUCCUCAUAUAAUUUCUUUCCCCUGAUUCAAGGCAAAUAGGAUUUAUCUCUCAAUGUCUCAUCCUUUGUGAUUUAUAGUUUUAAACUUGUACUAGAAUUUCACUGCUUGCCUUGUAUUUUUUUACCAAUGUCAUCACCUGGGCACUGAUUUUUGUUUCAGUCAUGCAAAUGCUUUCAGAAUUCAGGCCCACCAUCACAUUCACAAUAUUCUAUUAUUCUUAGAGAAAUACAUAGGACUUCUAACAAAAUUUUCAAAUAUGUUUAUGGUAUUUCUUCCCCAUAGGUCAGCUUGCUCAAUUAACUAGAUGUGUUCUCUGACCUAAUCUCUAUAUCAGCAUUGCAUAAGUGCUUGACACAGGCGCCAAGUAUCUAAAUGUCCUCAAGUAUUGGACACAACAGCCUCUAGAGAUCUACAUAAUGACACUUUUGAUGCUUGUCCACAGAAUGAUUUUUAUUUGAAGCAAGGUAUGCCAUACCAUAUCGAACCCAGCGGUACGGAGCAUACUGAUUUUGUACCAGUACGUAGCAUGGGGGGCAUAUCGACACUCGGUAUGCCAAACCCCUCAUAUCAGGCAUACAAGGUGGCACUAGUAUAGGGCUCGGUACCUUUUGACUUGAAGUGUCGAUAUAACUGUAAUUAUUUUAUGUUAACAACAUAAUGACUCUUAAGGUGUCCAGCACUGAAACUAAGAUCCACUGCAUGACGCUCCAAUAGAAAAACAAGGUGCCAAGUGGUGGCAACUUUUGCUGAUGUCAGCGAGACAUUUCAAAGUGGAGUGUCCUACCACGUUCAAGCGUCCAAAAGUGUUGAACUCCCACAACUUAGAAAUGUCCAGAUAACAUAUUAUCGUAUAGUCACUCGUUUAUUGAGAAUUUCUGAAAACUAACAUCUCUAAGCAAAUCCCAUUUCUUCUUGACUGAAAGGAAUGUUGUCUUGAUUUUUGCCAAAUGUUACUAAUAAUCCUUGAAAUUUUGUGAAUAAUUCUUGAAUUAUUAGAACUCCUUUUUCUUAAUCUUGCUGGAUUCAUCUUUCAUAGCAAACAAAUUAGGAAGUGCUUAUCACAUAGCAUGCUCCAGGAAAACUCAACAUGACUAAAAAAAGAAGUUGAUACGUUGAAAGAUAAAUGCCUUGAAAUGUGUAAGUAUUUGGCUUGGACAUUUUUGCGAGAUAAGGAUUAUCUGACUGAAUAAUUUUUUGGAGCGAGAUCCUUUCCAUCAUUCAGGUUGAUCUGCAUUGUAUCUUUUUUGUUCUGUCGAGGUAUUAACUGCAAAAAGAUUGAGAGGUUCUCUGCCAACUAUAAGAUUUAAUGCUUAUAAGUCAGUGGAGAUACAAAAAAUAAUCCAUGUACAUUCCAAAUCUUUAUUAUUGUACCACAUUAGUGCCAAUGUAGGUAAAUAACUAAAGUUAUUUCUUUUGCAAAAGAUGUUUAUUUUAUGACAUGUAUGUUGUAUUAGUUCAUUUGUAUAUCUCAAUUUGCUUAGUGUAAAGUUCUUGUUCAUAAUCAUAAUCAUCUAACUUUUUUCCAGCUAUUUGGGGAGUGUAAAGAUCUUGAUGAGUCUUAAUUUUACAUGUAAAACAUUUUCCUUUGGUAUUAUGUUUUUAUUUGAGCAAGAAACACAGUGGGGUUUCCUAAAUAUCUGUUCUUGUUUUAUGCAUUUUCCCAUAAUAGUCUUAGGGCCCAUUUGGUUGGAGGUAAUCUAGCAUGAGAAAAUAAGUUGAAUGUCAGAUUAUCAUGUGGUACGAAAAAUGGAUAAGAAAGAUGGUAAAACAAAUGGUGGAUCCCAUAUCUAUUUUUCUGAGAGAGAAGGUAAAAUAAAUACCACUAGAUAAAAUAAAUACCAACAGAGGGUGAUAUUUAUUUUCCCACGGCAGAUUACCAAGUGGAGAUAAUAUGAAAAUAUCAUUUCUUGACGAAAAUGCCUCACUUAUAUUAUAUUAAUAUUAUAUAAAUUAUACUAUAUAAUUAAUAUUAAUUAUAUUAAUAUUAUAUCAAUAUAUUAUAAAUAUAUUAAUAUAUUUAUUAAUAAAUAUUAAUUAUUAUUAAAGUAAUUAACAAAUAUUUAUUAAUGAUCAUUAAAUCUAACAAAGGAUUUAUAAAUAAUUAAUAUAUUUAUUUGUAUACUAAAACAUACUAGAUUUAUUUAUAAUAAGAAAUAUUUUCUAAUAUAUGUAUAAUUAAUUUAAAAAUAUUUAAAUUAAAUAGUCUUUAUAUAACUAUAUGUAUACCUCAUGUAAAUAUGUUUUAAUAUUCGAAAUAGCCAAUAUUGUUAGCAUUUAUGUAAGUGGGCCAUAAAUAGCCAACAAAUGAAUUGAGAAAAAAAUGUUAUUACUUGAAUUGUUUAUUCAAGUGCAUUAAUAAAAAUUUGACAAUAUUUCCAUAUAAGAUUACGUGCAACCAAACAUAGUCAUCUUUUCCGAUGCCAUCUUUCUAGAGUAAUUUUUUCACCAACUAAACAUGGUAAAUUUUUUUCCCCUGCGAUCAUUUUUUCAGGUAAAUGAUUUCUAGGAAUCAACAGAUUAACCCAUAAUUUGACAUAUCCCAACCAAACGAACCCUUAGGUAUUCAAAAUCAUGGUAUAUCAUACGUACCAUACCAGUAUAUGGUAUGAGGGGUGUACCAACACUCGUACGCUGAACUAGCCCACUUGCCGGGCAUACCAACACAGUGACAAGGUAACACCGGUACGGAGCCCGGUAUCGAGAUGGCAUACCUUAUUCAAAAUGACUAAUGUUACAAAUAGAUGUGCUAAUGUUGUGUUAGCCACACUGUUUUUUCUCUCUCUUUUCAGAGGUAAUAGAUAUGUAAUUGUUUAGAUAGGAAAAGCGAACUUUUCUUGUCAUACCUAUUCACUGUUUUCUGCAUCAUAUCAUAAUGCUGCUUGUAUUGAUAGCAGAUAAUGGAUUUUGCAGUAUUACUCAAUGCCAGGAGGCUGUAAGUUUGGAAAAGCUUGUAAAUAUGUUCAUCAUCGAGGAAAACAUGAAAAUAACUCAGUGCAGCUAAAUUUUUUGGGCCUUCCAAUUCGACCGGUAAGUCUGCUAUGUUCUCUCAUAGAUAUGAAUGCUUACAAGUAUCAGGACUUCAUGGCAAGGUAUAUUGAAGCUGAUGUUUGGCCAUAAGUCUUGGCAUUCUGCACUUUUCCAACACCUUCUGAAGUUAGUAUUUUAGCACCACCAACUGAUGCUACCCUACAAUUGCAGGGAGAACGUGAGUGCCCUUAUUACAUGCGUAAUGGCAGUUGCAAAUUUGCAACAAACUGUAAGUAUCAUCAUCCUGAUCCUACUGCUGUGGGUGGACAAGAUCCUCGAUCAGGCCAUCGAAAUAGUGAACCUCCACAACAACGUGGUUUAGGAGCACCACAGGUGCCCAUGACCUGGCCUGUGCAGACAAUGUCAAAUGAGCCAGUUUCUUUCCUCAAUGCAUCACCCUCUUAUGUUCCUGGGAUGAUUUUACCUCCUCAAAGGCUCCAUUCAAAUCUAGAAUGGAAUGGGUAUCAGGUGAUUAAUCACUUCACAUUUCCCAAGAACUAUCUUUCUUUAAAUAAUAUUUGCCACUUUGCUUUGAAUCAUGAUGUUUGAGAAGAUAGAAUGAUACCCUGUCUUCUAGGAAUGUUAACAUUGUCUAGAAAGGGUUCUGUAUGAAACUCCUGGAAGAGCUUAAGCCUCUAUAUCCAUAAUAUCAUAUAGUGGAGUGAAAAUAAUGUAAUGUUGAUUAUGAAACAUAAUAUGUCCAUUUUAACAUUUGCAUAUAACUCCAAGUUUUCAAGAAAUUUCACAUAGUGCAAGUUUGAGAAACAAACUGUUGACACUUUCAAAUUUCAACCAAUGCAUUUCAGGCUUUAUCAGUAUAUUUGGGUUCCAUGUAUAGUUUGCAUUGUACAAGGAGCAUUCAAAAUUGAUAUUUUGGCAUAAAUAAGAGACCAUUAUGAAAAGGCAUGCUUAAUGUUUCAACCUGUCUCUGAAAUUACGAAAAUUGGACUUCUUUUUGCCUGUGGCUUGAUAUAACUUCAUGAUGUGGAAUAGUUUUAUUAAAGUUUUUGCAAAUUGUUUUGGUGUGUUUAUUACUCAGUUAAUUUGAAAUCAUGUGGGAAAACAAAGAUGAUGAACUUGACAGAAGUUUUUGAAAACUAAUCCUGCAACAUGUUAGGGAGGUUGACUAUGAUGGUUAUUUUCUUGCUUAUGAAAUGGAUUGAAAAAAAAGUUUAUCAAUGCAGAGGUUUCGAUAGAAGAAAACAUAUGAUAACAUAAUUGUUCAAGGAUUUCAAUGGAAGUGAUGCAUGACAAUCAAGAAGAACUCAACUGCAUGGAAUCAUAACUAGGCUCUUGAGGAAGCAAUGGAGUAGCAGCAAGUACAGCUUAUGAAAAAGUAAAAUUUAAAACAGAAGAAGAAAAGGAAGAAGGAAUUGCUUAUGUUAUUUUUCUUAAUUGCAAGCUUCUUGGUCUCUUUAACUUGUCUAGGAGUACUCUUUGUGGCAGCUAGAGAAGAAAAGAGCCAGAAGACUCAGUCAACGUGGUCAAAGACGAUUUAGAUUUUAAGGAGCCCAGCUCUCAGGACUCCUGCAAUUUGUAUUCUUUUUCUUUCAGUGUUCCUACUCAUAGGAAUCCCUUAGAUACGUAGAGCUUCCAUUCUCAUACCUUUUAUUGUCUCUCAUAGAAAGGUAAAGGACUUUUCUGUUGGGGGAUUGAGUGACUGAUGAUAUAAUUCUAGGAAAUAUAAUAGUUGGCUAAUAUUUUUGUUAGGGUUCCUUUUUAUAGACAUUCCAGUUUUGUUAAUUCUUAAUCACUUUUGUCAUUUCCAAAUUUGCAUGGAUUAUUGAUUUUUCGGUAAAGUUGCUUGUUGUAUUAACUUAUUAUUCUUUAGCUUUUUUUUUUAAAUUACCCAUUUAUAUUUUUCUGCAUUUUGUAAUAUUUUACCAGUCAUCAUGUUAUGUCACACUGUGACAGCUCCUAAAGUAAAUGGAACAAUUUUAUGAUACAUACGUAUAUAUGUGCAUAUGUACAUAUGUGUGUGUGUGUGUGUGUGUGUGUGUGUGUGUGUGUGUGUNNNNNNNNNNNNNNNNNNNNUGUGUGUGUGUGUGUGUGUGUGUGUGUGUGUGUGUGUGUGUGUACACACGUGUUCUUUCGUACAACUUUUCCAGAUAUCUGCUUAAGCGAUAUCUGAUCCCUCAACCAUCUGCAUGCCCCAACUGGCUUUUACAACACUGCAUAUUGCUCAAGGAAAUACUAUUUAUGAGUACUUUCUUCCUGUUGGUCAUUGUUUUUCUUGUUCAUAUGCCAUAAUAAGGUUCCAUUCAGUUCAAACAUAAGGCUAAAAUAAGGCCUCCAUGGAGUAGGCAUUGUUCCUGUUUUUUGGCUGCCCCUUCCUUACUAGGGCAAAAUUACCCUUGCUCUGUCUCUGUUUUUACAGCCUUACUGCCUAUAUCUGGAACCUGGCACCUCUAGUCUGCAACCCGGCGCCUUUGGCUGCUCCAACUUGCAUAGGGUUCUGCUCCCCUGGUUAUAGAGUGUUAUUGUUAUUUGCUGUGGACAUGUUCAUAUUCAGUUGUGGUUCGGAGUGGAUCUUUCUUGGCUUUGGUUGGAAGCACUCAAUCUAGUUCUCUUCUCUGUGCCUCAUUUGGAUUCUUUGUUGUUGUUCACCCGCCCAGAUAGUGGUAUACCUCCAUCAUGGCACAGUUUGGAUUCUUUGUUUGAGGAAAGGAUGGUUAUUUUAUUGCACGAGCUACUAUAUCUUUUUUUUUUGUUCACGAGAAUAUUUUUCGGUUUGUGACUUGUUUGGUUUCCUUUGGGCAUCAAAUCAUGAUCCUUCUAAUUGUUGCCAUCAGUUCUAGGUUUGCAUGAAUAUUAAAUGAGACCAAGAAUAAAAAACUCAGUAAUCUAUAAUCAGAUCAAGAUGAUCUAUGAAACUUUUGGUGCUAACUUUCAUUCUCUGUCCUUCAGUAUGUGCAUUAUUACUGCUAAUUAUCUGAAUAUAACAUGUUGAAGGGGUGGAAGAAACUUAGGUUAGUGACAUGACGGGUAAACAUGUUAUGCAAUAUGUACCCUUUCUUAUUCAAGGAAUAUGUACCCCUUCUUAUCCAGUCAUUGUAACUGAACAGCAUUGCAAGCUAUUACAGAUUAUUUCCUGAAAUAAAUCAGCCAAACAACUUGCAGAAUUGCAAUUGAAGUAAUUAUUUUUCACUUCGUUUGUUCUUGAACCAAAGACAGCCUUAAAGAAGUAAACAAGUAUGACUCUAUGAGACACAUUUCAUACUUCCACUUUUAACUUAAUGGCCCUUCGUGAAGUGAGCUGCUUCAGAAGAUGCAUGCUUUUGCACAGAGCACUAGAAUUAGUGGUGCAUCUUUCUUUUGUUUUUUCGUUGGUUAUGUAGAGGGUUAUUAAGAUCUUUUUCUUUUUUUUUCAAAUUACCUCUCUCUCUGAUCCUCCUAUAUAUAGGGUGUUUGUGCGGCUAUCAGUGAGGGUAACACAACUUCUUUCAAAAAUUCGAGGGCAUUUAUCAAUUUCAGAGCAGGUGGUCAUCUAGAGGCAAAUCGAUACAACCCAUUAUUGAUGUUAUGAUACUAGAUCUGAAUUUACAAUUUUUCUCUGAGAUGUCUAAUUUUUCACUAGGGAUACAGAACUCAGAAUUGAAGGGAAUAAGCAAUUGCUCAAAAAAUUAUAAUUUGAGUGUUUCAUUUGCAUCUUUGUUUUUAUAAGCAUAGGUUAAUAAACAUGGGUGUAUCAUGGUGCUACAUUCUUUAUUGACUUUCAUUUGGGAUGUUUUAGGCUCCGGUAAGUCCAUUGUUUCCACCAGAUAUUCAUGCACGGAACUCCUCAGCUUCAACCAUAAAUCAUAAAACAAACAAGGGAGAUAUUCCUGUAAGUCAGCAAGUGCCUGUUGAUGAAUAUCCCGAGAGACCUGGCUUGCCGGAAUGCCAAUAUUUCAUGAAACAUGGGGUUUGUAAAUUUAAAACUGCAUGUAAAUUUCACCAUCCAAAGACUCGUCUUCAAACAGUGCCAGUAGACGUUCUUAGCCCCGUUGGCCUGCCCUUGAAACCUGUGAGUUACUUUUCCAUUAUUUUCGAUCAACAUUUAAUCUUUAUUGUUGAUAAACACUCUCUUUCAUGGUAUCCUUACUGUUGCAUGGAUGUCAUUAUUUCCUAUUCAAUGAUAUGCUCGAAGGGAUAAACCACGUUUUUUUUCUUGAGCAUGCAACAGCUGUUAGAAACAAGUAUAACGUUUUAGUCUCAUGCAGUCUGCUCUUGCUUAGAUUUGUCUUCCAAAUAGUCUAAAAAUGUUUGUCAUGGUAUCAACUAUCAAGCAUGCAUUCCUAUGAUUUUCAACUAAAUGUAUGCUAUCGCAUUGAUUGCACCAUUCAUAAUUACUUUACUUGUUCAUAUAUCAUAGGAUCAACCAGUGUGCACACAUUAUAGUCGUUUCGGAGUGUGCAAGUAUGGACCAUCUUGUAGAUUUGACCAUCCAAUUGGUCACAGUUUUUCAGCGUCAGCAGGUGCGGCGGUAUCUGGACAGACUGCAACCCCAAACAAUGCUACAACACAAGAAUCAUAUGUGACAGGCAGCAAUUAUUUGGUUCAACAGCCAGAGUGAUAUUUAUGAGGCCUUUGCUGUAAAAUCAUAGGUCAACUAAUUGUGGAGAGCUGCAUAAACACUGCCUUGGUGCCAGAUUUUAGAUUUCCAUUUCAUUGGUGUAUAAACACCUUUUGCUUUGUACAGGGAUUCAUGUGUUAUAUUUACCAGAAAUAUAGACUAAAUAAUAAUAACACAGCUAAAAAAAAGUGUGCUGAGAAAAAGUUUGUGGUGAUACCAACUGUCCCCUGUGGAAACUCAUGACAAGGGAGGAACAAUCUCCAAUGUGUUACCAUCAGAUGCAAUGACAAAAUCUGGAUGCACAGCUAUCACAGGUAGCCUAUUAAAUAAGCACCGACGUCUUAUUGUGGAGUGCUUGAGAGAUUGAGAUGCCAUUCUCUUGCCAAGAGGAAAAUUUGAUACAAAAUAGUGCCCAAGUGGAUUUGUAAGUAAAGGUGCCAGCAGGUUACAUUCAACCCCCCUUUAGCCUGGCAGCAGCUGAAUCAAAUUGUGAAUCUCUAUAUCAGCAAACAGCGAUCCAGCUGGAGAGAUUUUAGCGAUACAGGAUGCUUGGAGAUUAAAGGAAAUGGACUUGUCUGAGAUGGACUACUUAUUAUCCAUGUUCCAACCUCAACCUUGCAGGCUCUCGAAGGUGUAUCAUAUAUGAAGGUGUAUCAUAUAUAAAAUUUCGCACCAUUGUACUUAAUUUUUCUGUUAGACACCAGAUUUUUUUCAACAGAACGAAGCAGGAUUAUUUAUCUUGAAUUUUAAGAAGCAUUUCUCCUGUUUAUUUCUUUUCAAAUACAGCAAACAGCAACCACUAGGUGGCUCUUGAGCCAUUAAACCUUUGGUUCAAUAUUUUAACUCUCUGAAUUGUCCAUAGUGGAAGCGAAGUACGAGAAUGCCUUUCAAACUUGAUAUUGGAUGUUUCGGUUGUGUCCGGAUGCUUUUAGUAAAAGAACAGUAAAGUAGCAAAUUGACAUAGUUAAAAGAUUCAGCAGAGCUACUGCAAAAGAAGGCAGCCACUGUUUAAUGUUCCUACCAGUUCUAGCAAAAAUAUAUCGUCUGCAGCAUGUUAUUGACUGCUAAACACAUGAAAGUCCUCAUUUUUUUUGUGGCCUAGCGCAGCUAUUCUCUCAAGAGAAGAAAGAACAGCAAACACCAGUCAGUCUAAAAUCUGGAUUAAUCCAACUAUGAUAAGACGGCUGCCUUGUCAGACUGUUUAAACAUUCAGCUAAAAUUGAUCAACAGUUACGAUCUUUUGAAACAAGCAAAACUGGAAUUCAUGUCAUCUACAUGUGCACAUUCUGAGUCCAGAAUUUCCUCCAAAAUUCAAUAGUCAAAAAGCAUUAAAAAGAAAGGCACUCCAGUCAGACAAUUACUUUUAAAAUAUUGUGCAGCACCUGGACUCAAGCAUAUAACAAAAUUUCUAUCGAAUACACUAACUGAGUACAUCAACUCUUGAGCCAGUAAUUCUUUAUACCAAUCAAUUAAUGGUUAUACAGCACAGAAGGAUGUCAAGUUUACCUUAUCGGAACUCUGAGAUUUUAAAGAUACGAGCAGUCCCAUCACUUGAGACUGAAACAAGGGAAUUACCAUCGGCAGACGUGUCCAGAGAUUGAAUGGUGUCGGCGUGGCCACUGAAAGUUCUCAAGCAAUUGCCGGAGAGACUAUCCCAGAUCCGUACCUUUCCAUCCACACAGCCUGUAGCCACGUACUGAGAUGUACCCAACCAACUCAGGCAUGUUACACCCUCCUGCCAGUCAAGACCCAGUGGCGACUAUAAGAAUAAGGAGAAAAGAAGUACAAAAAGAUUUUGGUGUGUACAUGUGAGGAAUCAGUACUUCAUGGUCACAUGUGCAUCGUACUGCAGAAUGCUGCAGAUCCCAUAUAAGGAGCUUUUGAUCCAUGCCUCCUGUUGCAGCCCAAGUAAAACUGCAAGGUGAUUUCAUAUGGUUAGUGUCUUUUAAGUCACAAAUGUAAAUUUCUAGUGAUGAUAGGCUUCAUGCAACCAUGCACAUAUAUGCAUAUGUUGCUCACCAUCAUACACAAGACAACAGGCAUAUGAUUAUAUUUGUCCUAAGGUCCAGUAGUUCAGUAAAAUCUCUCAGGUGGUCUUUGGCUGAAAAUUUUCAGCUAAAACGAAUGGUUGACAUUUGUCCAAAUGAGUCUAAAAUAAAAAUAUAAUAUUACCAAACAAAAAGGGUAAUGAUAACUAAUGUUGAAAACAGAUAACAGAAUAUAGCUGAAAGAGGAAAAGAAAACUUGUGAGAUUAAUAUUAUGUGCAGUAACCAGAAUACAGCUAAGCAUUUUGACUUUCUUUUUUUUUUCCCAAUAAUUAGGUUUCGGAGGCUAGAUAAGAUGCCCCUUGGGCUACCCUAGACACAAGGACCCAAAAUCCCAAAUCCCUAAACACUAGCUCCAAACUAAAAAGCUACAUGCAUCUCCAGUAAGGUGCAUUGUAUCUUGAAAGCCUGCAAAACUGCCACAUAUGCAAUAAUUGUAAAUUUGUUAAGCAACUUGACAAGAUUUUAACCCAUAAUCUUCCUUAAACCAUGGAGGGUACCAAAUAGAGACAGUCACAAAAUUUUGAUAUGUGCUUCCACAUAUGCAUAUUACUGAUGUGAUAAUGCAUGUUGCAAGUUCGAACAUAUCAUUAAGCCUUAACCUAUAUACCAGUAUCUACAAGAAAUGAAAACAGAUGAAUUCUCUUUUGGCAAUACAAGCAUAGAUUAGAAGGAACAGAUUUUUUAUUUGAUUGGAUGAAAAAACAACUUCAAACACUGUUUAGAACCUGCCGACAAGGUCCAACCAUUUUGUAGGACAGGAUGUGGGUUGAAGGUUCGACCGCAGGUCAAUCACAAGUCGACAGUCAGAUCUUUUGUUUUUCUUACUUUUUUGCAGUAGGCCGCCCUCUUUUCAUCAUGUACUUCCUUCUUCCUCAAACCCACUUUCUGUCCUCAAUCUUCAAACAAAGAUGACUAGCAGUGAUCUAUGAUCUUUGAACUUCCAAUGAAAAGCAAUCAACAACAACAAUUUGAUGAAGUCCAACAAUGGCAGCCGCCAGGCAGGGCCACUGACAAAAAAGCUCCAAGAGAAAAGGUGUUCAACUUUUCAAAAGAGAGAUUGAGCGGCAAAGAGUCUUUGACCAUGAGGAUUAGGGUCAGGGGCCUCAGGGCUUUUACACCACAAUGGCUAAAGGGCAGAUGGUUGAGUGUGAAGCAAAGGAAUUGGCAAUCCAGGUCUAUCAGAAACAUCAGAACACAGAAUCCAAACAGGGUCUUGAUGUUUGAAUUUUUUUAUUUUUAUUUUGUUUUUGCUGCUGGUGGGGGACGGGGAUGCAUCCCCGCCCACCAGGGGAUGGGGAUGAGGAAGAGGGGAUGGGCAAAAAGAAGAGAAUCUUGUGCCCCGUCUUCCUUUUUUCUUUCAAUGUAAUGUACACUACCUGGGAACUAGAGUUGGUGGAUGGUUCAAGCAGCUGAACCAUCUAGUUCAAUGGUUCAGACUAGGUUUUUCCAAAAUUCGGAUCUAUGCAUGAUCUUAUCCAUUUUUCCUAUCAGCUGAUAGAUUGAACAAGAUGGGACAACUCAUCCAUCCCUGACUGAUCUCCAAACGUUGACUUCAAGUCUCUAGUUUAGGCCUCGGUCUAAAAGUUACCCUGAGUUAAGCACAAGCCUCUCACCCUAAAAUGAAUUUCUUCAGGCAUUUUUAAUAAGGUCACCAUUUUGGUUUGCAAAUUGUGCCACCAACAUGAGUAAAACUCUACCUCAUUAAAUGUUCUUGAUUGACGAGUCCAUUCAGCAUGGUCGGUGGAACCAUCCCGAACCGGACUGCCCAGUUAGGGACGUCCCGAGCCAUACCGGCGGUGGACCAGGACAGUUCCGACAACGAAACCAGAACCAACAAUGGAGGGGGAGAAGGAGAACAGAAGAGAGGAAAAGAGAGAGAGUGGGGGAGGAAGAGGGAGAGGAAGAAAAAGAGAGGCUGAUCGGGGCUCUCUCUUUUCCUCUCUCCCGUUCUCCCUCUCCCCCUGCCUCAACUGUGUCGAUGCAGGGCCGGCACGGCCCGUUGUAGGGCCGUACCGACCCAUGCUGCCAGGCAACCGGUCCGAGACUUAGAACCGGCACAAUAGACUAUGUCAUUCGGUAUUUUCAUCAUUUACAUACCAAGAGGUGCCUUUGAAGAAUAUAGCAUCUCCAAAGCAUCUUACACAUUACACGCUUCUCAACAAUAAUCACAUAACUAAAAGAGAAGUAAUAUAUUUAAUCUUUAAGCACUACAACAUAGUAAACAAACAACUCCAGAGAUAACCAGCUAAAUUUCUCGAAAGUAACACCAUCAUCUAUAUAAAUGGGAACAUCAAUGUCAAGCACAAUACUGUGUACCUUACAGAGAUAUGCUUUUACUAUGCAAAUUUAAAAAGAGAGCAUGCUUAUUCAGGGAUAGCAACCAUACCUUGGCGAAAGUCCAAUACACUCCACAGAGUCGGAAUGAGCAUUUAAUGAGCUGACCACCUAAAAAGAUCAGGUGCUACAAGUCAGGGAUCAAUUUCCAUAAUCCAUGUUCAAAUACCAUAUAAGACUCUAUAACUUGACCAUAUUAUGCAAAAGAAGUAAAAUAAAAUUAAAAUUUAAAGUAACUGGACUAAUACAAACUAGUUCUUCAUAACUAAAGCUCAAAUAAACCGAUAAUUGCUGGUCAUACAUAAAUUUCUGAGAGAUCAGAUCAUGGGGCCUUUCUUGUAAUUGCAGAAUACCAUCCAACAAAGACCAACACAAUUAGAAUACCUAGACUUUCAAAACGCCAGAAGACAUUUUUAAUAAGAAACUUCAUCCAUUCUAGAAAACAUAUCGGAUUCUUCACAUGAGACCCCUCAAUUACCAAAUUUUAAGCAUCCCCAACAUUGGUUAGAAGAACCUCCUCUAAUGACCAUGAAGGAGUUGCAAGGCACAGCCUUCCAUGAAUAAUCCAAACAAAAUACUGCUCCAGUUCUGAACCCUUCAUCAACAGCCUUAGAUUCCUUUUUGCAAGCAUGCAGCAAUGUAUAGAACAUUAUUCCGAUGAUAUAUACAUUAUACAAUAUGUACUUGUACAAUUCACUAUUAAUGAGGGUGAGCCCUAGCGCAACAGUAAGGUAGCUCUAGUGUGACCUGGAGGUCGCGAGUUCAAAAUAGGUAAACAACUCUCUGCAUACAGGGGUAAGGCUGCAUACAUUUGACCCUCCCUAAACCCCGCAAUGGCGGGAGCCUCAUGAACUGGGCCACCCUUUACAAUUCAUUGUUAUAUACAGACAUAGAUGUAUACAUAUAUUUGUUCAUUACCAAUAUUAUAAUAAAUAUAAUGUGCUAAUGUUAACAUAGGGAAAAAGAAAUCUCCAUCUAGAGAGAAUGUGAAAAGUCAUACUUCCAAAUCAUCAUAAAGGUUGAUGCCAAUCAACUUAGGUUAAAACAGUAAGAGUAUCCUCAAAUACUUCAUUUGAAACAUAAGAUGAAGGCAAAAGAUUAAUUUUAAUCGAAGGGGUAAGGCUGCCUUGCAAGGAGAUGAUAUUAAGUUUAAUCUCUCGAUGAAUUUUUGGCUCUUCUCUAGUUACAAAGCCUCAUGAAAACCCUCAAGUUAAUCUACUACUCUUUAGUCAAGUUACUCGUGGUAUUCUUUAGCAAGCAAUACAAGAACCUUCUGUGCUUCUUUAUUAAGAUGCUUCUAGUUGUCAAGAGAACUUUAAUCUUUCCUAAAUUUUCUGAUCUUCCACCUUAAUUUUGGCAGCUUUCUACUCUUGACUUUUGUCAGAAAUUAAAUGGAAUUUUCUGUGGAAACUGGUUUGGUGAGGUUAGAAAUUGAAUACAUCCUCAUAUUGCAGAACUCUUUGCCUAACCUCCUUUCCCAACAAGCAUCUUACAAAACAAUGAGACAAGAUUUAAAAUCCUAGUACCAAUACCAAUAUUGGUUGGUUGCUGGUUCGUAGAGCAUCAGGACAUGCUACAUGAACACAGUUGGGUGUUACAACACCUCGUGCUUGUUAGUUAGUUAUCGCUUCAUGCUUAUCGACAAGCAACCACCUCAUGCUUCUUUCAUCUCAUGCUACCUACUAAAAAGCCAACUCAUACUUGCUGUGUUUAAGCCCGUGUAGUGGGCCAGAUUGCAUGGAUAGUAGGCCCACAUAAGGAGAAGCUACUAGGUCCUGGUUGUUGAGGCCAUUUGUUCAGACAAAAGUAUUGAAAGUCCUGAGGCAUUAACUUGGGGAGAGUACCUCCUCCACUCGCCCCAACCCCUUUCUAUGCUAAAAAAUAGAAGGGGAAAAAUAAAAAUAAAAGGAUUAAGAAAGAGUUGAAAGCGAAGAAUAUUCAUGCUCAAUGGUAUGAAGGCUCGGAGGUGUAAUGGCAAUGAGGAAGGUGCGCCACAUUCCUCCUCUCUAGUCUCUUUUUUUUAUCAUUUUCCUAUUCGCUGCUCUCCUUUCAUUUCUUGUCUUCAUCCAUUUAAGGUUUUUUUUUUUCUUGUUUUCCUCUCCUUUCCUAGCUUCAUCAUUGAUGGAUGAGAGGAGGAACACUAUGCCAGUCAAGGUUCACCAUCCCAUACCGGAUCUCAUACCAGUACCAUACUAGUACAAUAUCAGUAUGCCAAGUAUGCAGGUCAGCUCAACAUACCGAAACUCAAUACGCCCCCUAUACUGAGUCUCGAUUUGGUGUCGAUAUGGUAUGAUACGCCCAGUUCGAGACAAUAUGCACUAGCAUGGUGAACUUUGAUGCCAAUUAUUGGUGAGAUUUGCGAGAUAUGCUAGAUUAUUGAUUGGGUGUCUCAAAUGGAAAGAGAUCGCAUGUCUUGUUGAGUUAUAUUUGAUCCAUCCAGUCUCAUGACUGGAAGGGCAACGAGCUACUUAGCAUGGUGCUCCUUGAGCGGUGAUGGGAGGAGGGAAGAAUGAUAGCUAGGAAAGUUACGAGACACGGAUGUCGUGUCGUGUCACCAUGUGGACAUAGGUAUCGCUGCAGCCACCUCAUGCUUGCAAAAUAGCCACCUAGCUUACCUUAGUUUGACACCUAGCUGGUAUCUAGUGGUGGCUGACACCUAGCUGGUAUCUAGUGGUGGCUGAACACCUCAACAAAAAGAAUUUGCCAUCCAUAAACAGGAGGGUAUACUCCCUCCUACCACUUCUGUAAGCCAAAAAAAAUACAAAAACCAUAGAGCAGGGCACUAAUGAACAAAAGGGAGCAAGAAUAACAAGAGUACAAAGUAACAGCAAGAACAAAGGGAGAGUGGUGCAAAGCUUUAGACCACUUUGUAGUGUNNNNNNNNNNNNNNNNNNNNNNNNNNNNNNNNNNNNNNNNNNNNNNNNNNNNNNNNNNNNNNNNGACUGCGGCGCCGUCGACGAGGUCGUGGGCAAAGGUAGCAGCUCAAGGAAAAGGUAUGUCUAAGGGGAGGAAAGGGGACCGACCAGGUGGUUGGGGGCGACCUGGGCCUUGGGUUACCCACCAGAUGACGGAGGCGGAGGUGGCUCGGUUGAGCCAACACUUCUCGUUGGUCAUCGAGCUCCCGGAGGAGCCCAUCGAGGCUGCUCGCCGAGAGUGGGAGGGACUAGCACUGGUCGGUCGGAGUCUCGGCCGGCGGGUGCCGGUUGAGUGGGUGGCCAAGGAUGUGGCCGCCCGGUCGAAGAAAACAGGGGAGGUGGUGGCGGUCACCCUCGCCGAAGAUCACUUCGCGUUGCGGUUCCAGUUGCCGGAGGUCCGGGACCACGCCCUGUUAGAGGGGCCAUGGGUGGUGGCGGGGCAACUUUUGGCUAUGGAGCCGUGGGCGUCGAACUUCCUACCCAGGGAGACCCCGGUUAAGACCGUGGUGGUCUGGCUCCGGCUACCUGGCUCCCCCCGGAGUAUUGGUCGACCUCGACCAUUCUGGACAUCGCUGCCAAGGCAGGGAGGCCAAUGGCCGUGGACGGUGUCACAGAGGGGCGACGAGCCAUGGGCUUUGCUCGGGUUAAGGUGGCUAUCGACGCCUCCGAACCCCUCCUAGGGAUUCGGAUACACGGGAGGACGAAGGCUAUCUGGCAGCCUUUCGUCUUCGAAAGUAUUUCGGAUCUCUGCGUCCGGUGUGGUAGAAUCGGGCACCUCGAGCCAGCGUGCCGGUUUGGGGCUCCGACCGGAGCGAGUUCAUCGGGGGAGGAGGGUUCCGACCCGAUCCAUGACCUGUGGUUGGUGACAUCCGCGCCCGGCAGCCACAGGAGAAUGGUCCGCCGGAGCGAGGGAAGGUGACCGAGCACCCUGCCGGGUCCCCCCUUUCUCGGCCUACUCCGCCGAUUAUCCCGACUAGUCCUCCGGUGUCCCCGCCGGACCUAGAGGGCUGGCAAAAGCCUACCAAGGUGGCCCGCCACCACUCCCCGCCGGUGGUGGCGGCCCUGGCCUCCGAUGGGCAAGAGGAGAGCUCCCGAGUUGAUACGGCCAGCGACUCGCUCAUGGGACGGGUCGACUCGGUGCCCGCGGUGAUUAGGAUCGGGUUGCCGGGGACUCGGGCCGGCCCGUCAAAUCAAGCCAGGCCGAGCUCUGGGUCGGCGGGCCAGCCCACGGUUUAGCCUAAGAAACGGCCCAGGAAUUUUGGGUUGCUACUGGAAGUGGGCCGCUCCCUGGGCUGGGGUCGGGCAGGCCACAGGGGUGGCUUGGCCGGGCCAGCGACCCGCGGGGCACGUGUGCCCCGCGUGGUUCGCGCGGAGGUCACGCGGAUGUCCUUGGGAAGGCCCCUGUGGGCGGGAUCCUUCCACUGUUCACGGCCCAAACGGGCCCUAUGGGGUUUGACACAGGGCCUGACCCACUGGCCCAGGUUGCGGGGCCCAGUGCUUGUGGUUUCCAGUUUGGGGCCCAGGCCCCCGAGGUGGAUCCGCCGUCCGCGAUCCUUACUACUCUAGGCUCUCUAGAGGUGGAUGUGGGGCAGGGAGAUGGUGCCUCGGGUAGGCCCGAUCCGGGUGACGCAACUAGGACUAGUGAGGUUCCUGUCUGCGUUGACUGCCCUAUGAGUGACUUUCUGGCGGGGCGGGAUACGCUUGCACUUGUGGAGCCGGGGGUAGGUGACUCGAGUGGUCAUGAGGGGGCUGCUUGCACGUCCGCGGAUCACUCGACUGUCGUUCAACGGGUGAAGGCGGCAGUGUUGCGAGUCGUGUCCGAGGCUAGUAUGGAUGAGGGUCAGCGGGUCGACCCUGAUCACGAGGUGGUGAUGGACCCUGUGGCACAGAGGGUUGACGUGCCUGUGGCCGACCUCUCGGACUUUUCCCCAUGAGGAUUCUUGCGUGGAACUGUAGGGGGCGGCAAAGCCGGCCUUCAUGUCAUCCUUUAGGAGGUUGGUCCAGAUCCAUAGUCCGGAGAUCUGCCUACUCUAUGAAACACGACUAUCCGGUAGAGGACUCUGUCGUGUUUUACGGCGGUUUGAGGUUGACUGGGAGUCAUAUGUAGUAGAUUCCCAGGGGCUGUAUGGAGGCAUUAUGGCUCUGUGGAAGCGGGGUGUGGCUACAGUUGACGUAUUCCACAACUGCUCCCAACAGGUCCUCAUGAUUAUCUCGGAACCUAAUGCUACACAGUGGGUUUUGUGCGGAGUGUAUGCUAGUACAAACCAUCGGACCAGGAGGGUUCUGUGGGAUGAGCUCACCCACUUAAUUGCUCAGGGGCUUCCGACUGUGAUGGUGGGUGACUUCAAUUGCAUCUUGGAGGAGAGUGAGAAACGAGGAGGUAGGACCUUCACUGACACUGUGGAUAGGAGGGAGUUCCGCGAUUUCCUCUCACGUAACGGCCUAGUAGAUCUGGGUUUCUUCGGUCCGCGUUUCACUUAGUGUAACAACCAGUCCAGACGAGCUAGGGUGUGGGAGCGACUGGAUAGGGCUGUUGCUUCCACUGACUGGCUCAUCAGAUUCUCCUCCUAUAGGGUUAGUCAUCUACCCCGGAUUGCUUCGGAUCAUUGUCCUUUGCUGUUUUCGAUGGUAUCGGGUUCGAGUCACCAGAGCCCAUUCCGCUUCGAGAAGGUCUGGCUGUCUUUCCCUCAAUCCUGGGACAUUGUCCGGGGAGCUUGGGGUCUGCCGGUUCGCGGUGACGCCAUGCAGAGUGUUUCGCGUAAAUUGGACUUGACCAAGCGACGGCUACGUCGCUGGAACCGUGAGGUAGUGGGUGAUAUUUUUAGGAAGCUGGAGGAUGUGGAGGCUGCGAUUGUUGACCUCCAAAGUAGGGAAGAUCAGGUGGGCGCACUCCCCAAGGCCGAUAUGGUGAGCCUCCGGGGACUUCUCUCCACCCACCACUCGAUCCUGCGUCGACAUGAGAUCUUCUGGAGACAAAUUCAGAAUUCAGUGGGUCGGAGAGGGUGACCGGAACACUAGUUUCAGUCACCAAUCUACGGUUAUCAGAAGGCAGAGAAACAUGAUUCGUUCCUUGCGGGAUGAGCGGGGCACAGGGUGGAGGAUGAUUCGGCGAUCAGCCAUAUCCUACUCGAGUUCUUUCGGUCUCGCUGGACGGAGGAUAGUGGGUUUGACGUCGCCGGCCAGCUCCCGAGAGCCGAAUCCCAAAUCGGGGUGGUUGAGAAUGCACUGUUGGUUCAACCAGUGACGGAGGGGGAGGUGCGAGAGGCGAUCUAGGCACUGAGGAUAGGGCUCCGGGCCCAGAUGGCUUCCCUCCUUUCUUUUUCCGAAGAUACUGGGGUAUUGUCCGGAUUGCAGUGGUGCAAGCGGUCUUGUGUUUCUUCAGUCGGUCAGGGAUGCCUGACGACUAGAAGGCCAUAUUUGUCACGCUGAUGCCUAAGCGUUCGGACGCGUCCGAGCCGAGCCACUUUAGACCAAUCAGUUUGUGCAUAACUUUAUACAAAGUUGUGGCAAGAAUACUGAUGGAUCGCAUGAAGCCCUUUCUCUCUGGCAUUAUCUGUCAAGAGCAAGGUGCUUUUGUGGGAGGUAGGAGCAUUUCCGAUAACGUCAUGGUGGCCCAAGAGAUGAUGUGGGAUCUUCGAUGGGCCUCGAAGCGACGAAGCCUGAUGGCUAUCAAGCUGGAUAUGGAACGAGCUUACGAUAGAAUCAGGUGGAGUUUUCUUAGGCUAGCUUUGGAGAGUCUGGGUUUCCAUGAGACCUGGAUUGGUUGGGUUAUGGGGUGUAUCCAGGGUCCGAGGUUUUCUAUCUUGGUCAACGGCUCUCCGUCCCCAUUCUUUAGUUCUACUAUGGGGCUUCGGCAGGAAUGCCCGCUAUCCCCGUACCUGUUCAUCAUCUGUUCUGAUGUCUUGUCUCGAUCACUGCGGCUGCAUGUGCCGCCGGAGAGCUGGAGGCUUACGUCCCAGCUCUAGGGGCCUAACCGAUAUCACAUUUACUUUUUGCCGAUGACUGCCUCCUCCUGACGUGUGCUCGCGUAGCAGAUGCUCAGGCUAUCAGGCGGGCUUUAUCCGCCUACUGCUAUGCAUCCGGUCAGAGAGUGAAUGCCCAGAAAUCCGCCAUCUUCUUUAGCCCGAGUUCGCCACCCGAGGUUCGACGGGAGAUUCAGAGGAUUCUGGAGAAGCCCGAGCAGGACGGGACCUGGAGCUAUCUGGGUGUUCCGAUCACAGGUAGGAGACUGCGAGUAUCGGAGUGCACCGGGAUGGUGCAACGGGUCCAGAGUAGGCUAGAGGGUUGGCGGGCAGCGUCUCUAUCUAUGAUGGGUAGAGUAAUGCUGAUUAGAUCUGUAUUGGGCUCCAUGCCCAUCUAUCUCAUGACAAACACGGUGGUGCCAAGAUCAGUCCUACUGAAGAUCGACCGACUUAUUCGGAGCUUCUUAUGGGCCUCGCAUGGUGGGGGCCGUGGGGUGCACCUGGUGGCAUGGGAGAGUAUCUGCCUCCCUCUCAGGGAGGGUGGCCUAGAGGUGGUCCCUUCUGGAGAGACGAGAGCUGCUCCUCGCCCAGCAUGCUUCCCGCUUCAUCUUGGAGCCGCAGGGUUUUUGGAGACGGAUCAUGACUGCCCGCUAUGGGAGGGUAGGCCAGGAGGGCUAGGCUCGAGGAGGGCGGAGAUGUUCCUUUCUAUGGCGUGAGAUAACGAGGUAUGUGCCUAUGGACUAGCCAGGAAGGUUGGAGGGAGUUGUAGAGGUUAGAGUGGAUAACCUCGUGAGUGGGGUUGAGGGCUCAAGACCAAGGGCUGGACUCAACACUUCCAUGAUUUUGGAUUUCAAUAGAAAGAACAAAAUGAUAAGGUAGGUGCAAAUAGCACAUAAUGGGAGCCAUGAUUUUUUUUUAAGAGAUGAAACAUAGUGAACUGAGGGGCAGAACAAGAGAGAACUGAUGACAAAUAGUCGCGAGGCUGCCCAGCGAAAGAAGGCGAGGUAAAGACAAUCGAUGAGGUACGGCAAGGGAGGGGAGAGGAGAGGAGCUGGCAGGUGACAUCUCCAUUGUAGUUCUGGGAUACUAGCAUCUUUGUUGAGGAGAAACCCUCAGAGGUGUUGGCAGUGCAACGAGCCCAGAUGGAGUAGUGGUGUAGCUUCUACUGGGCGCUAGAGGCAUGAGGGCCCUAUGUGGUGUUUGUUAUUAGCAAGGUUCGCUGUACCGGUACCGGACCCCAUACUGGUACCACACUAUCAUAGUAUCGAUACGGCAUGGUAUUGCGGUAUGCCACCGGUACCGGACUGGUAUGGUACGGCCGGUAUAAUACGGUACAACAUACUAUUGUUAUUAGAGAUAUGGUACACAUUAUUACUUAUUAAUAGAGGCAUUCUAAUCAUUUCAUAAACUUAACAUUAUAUAUGUUCUUUUUAUUCUUAUUUUUAGUGUUUUUACAAGACCACAUAGUUAGCAUUGCUUCAGUCAUUUCCUCAAUCAAUUCCAAUAUCCUGGAGUCCAAUGGAGCACUAGAAAUGGCACCCCAUCAUAGCUCGGCUGAAUGAUUACAUCCCCUAGCUAAAUUUUCUUAUUUUCAAGUAGCUUGCCUUUUUUUGGAAAGCACAUUUCUGUGGAUGAUAUCAUAUUCACCAUGUGGUGGAGCCAAGUAUCUUUGUACGUUAAUAUAAUGUUUUUAGAACUUCUUCCAAGUAUAGCCUUAAAUAACUUUUGAUGUAACUAGAAAUUAAAUAAUAAUUAAGAUCAAGUUCACUAUCUCGAUACCAAACUAGACUCCAUACGGGUACCAUGCUGCUAUAUCGUCAGUACAUCUAGUACGAGGGUAAGUUCGGCAUACCAACUGUGUAUGGAGCCUCGAUCUAAUAACAGUAUGGUAUGGUAUGAUCAGUGUGGGCUAUUACACAGUGAUACUCAGGCCUCAAUUUAUAUCUGAAGCGAGUGAAUUAAGAUGAUAACUUGGUGGCCUUCUUCCCAAUGGAGUGGAUGUGGUGAGGAUAAUCAUUUCCCAUCUCAUCUACCAGCAUACAACGGAUAUUAUUGUGAUACACAACCAUCCAAAUUCAUUGCCAUGUGCAGUGUAGCCAACUAAAGCCGAAUGAAGGGUUAUAGACCGAAGUCCCACCGACUGCCCUGCCACACUCAAACCAAUGUGAUGAUCCUCUAAGUCAAAGCUUACGCGCAGGGCUGUGGCUGAAGGCAUUGGUGCCAAUGAUGGCAAUGCUUCGAAGGGUCAUUAAGAGGAGGGCGAUGGAGAGAAGGGGACAGGAAGUGCAUUGGAGAAGCCGACCAAAAUGGGUUCACUAGUUCCUAAGCUCGGUGGGCUACCUAGAUUAGAAGGAUCUCGAUGAUUGGGACCAUGGUUUGCCAUACCAAUCGGUACAGGUGCAUACCGACUGCACUAUACCAUACCAGUACCGAACAAGUACAUGGUACAAAGGGUGUAUCGAGUAUCAAUAUAUAGAACCGCCCCCCAUACCAAGUGUAUUGACACAGUAAUAAAGUGAUCCCGGUACGGAGUUCGGUAUCGAGAUGAUGAACCUUGAUUGGGACGAAUGGGUUUCUUUUACUGUUCAUAGAUCUUAGUUAAGAGUAACCAAGGGUACAAUGUGCAAUCAUCAUUUGCCAAAUCUGGUACCUUAACCGGGGGCUGUGGUGAGACAAUAGGCUAACAGAAGGGAUUGUGCAAAUUAAAUAACAUUAUUUGGUUCGAUUUAUAAAUAGAAGAUAAAGAGCGAUGUUAUAUGUAAUUUCAAUAAAAUCAUGGGUGUGAUAUGCAAAAAACCCUUUUCUAUGUUUAGAUAUUUAUUAAUCUAUGUAGCUGAUCCACCUAUCUAUUACAUCUUAAAGUGAGAAAUUUGUUGGCAUAGUCUACUAGAAGGUAUAAAGUACUUCUACCAUACAGAUAUAAACCACUUUUUUUAUUAACAAAUUUGUUGUACCAUAAAGUAUUGUUUGUACCUGUUGAUAGUUGCAACCAAGGUUCGUCAUCUCGAUGCUAGACCCCAUAUCGGUACCAUCCUAUUACUAUGUCGGUAUGCUCGGUACAUGAGCCAGUUCAACGUACCGACACUCAACACAUCCCGCAAACCACAUACCAGUUCAAUACUAGUAUGGUACAAUAUGUAAUGAUUUUUUUAAAAAAAUGAUUUUAUUUUUUUAUUUCUUUAUCAUUUCUAUUCAAAAUUUAUUUUUAAAUGUCUUUCUAUUUAUUGUUCCCACUCUCCGUUUUUUCCAUUGGGUCCCAUGGUUAUAUAUAUUCAGACUCUCCGUUACUUCCCCCUCUCGCUCUAUGUUUUUUAUUCUAUGACUCUCCUCCUUGAUUUUAUUCCUAUGUUUUGUCAGUCGCACUGAUAUCGACUGAUACGGCAAACCUUGCUUGUAACAUUAGAAAUGGAAAGAGUGUUGAAUGUACACUACUAAAAAAUACAAAUGUCUUCUACCGAGCUAUGUUGAUGCUAUGUUAGUGAACCCUAUUCAAUUCAGGGCUGUGAGCUGUAAAAGUUUAAUUUGAAUGAAAAUUCAGUUUGCUUUGUACAAUCAAAUGGCCGUCAACUUUGGGUAAAUGAUUUAGAGGGCAAAUUUACAAAUUAAGUACAGUUGCAAUAAAGGAUUGAACUGAGUGCAGAUCAGUAAUCGAUUGUCGUUGUUGUUAUACUCAGAACCUGGCAUGACUAGGUUUCAGGUCAUUACAGAUGGUGCUAAAACAGCACGUGAAAAUAAUUUUUGUUCGUUUGCACAUUUAUCAGGAUUAUGACUAGUUUAAGACCAAAAGAUGCAACAAAAUUUGUUGUUCUUCAUAAACUAAAGAAAGAAAAACUUAAUUAGGUCGAACAAUACAUGUUUUUUACUAAAAAAAUGUACAUGUAGGCAAUCUGGAUUUGUCAUAUACAUCAGACAAGACAUUGCAGUUACAAGCAUGCACAGGUUCAAGGUGCUGUGCAUGGAAUGUAUCAAUCAAGUCUUUUAAUGCGCAAACCCACCUAACCCUUCAUAUGAAACACAAUAAUGUUUGUGCAUAAAGCAUGUGCGUGCCCUUCCAUACAUGCUCAUAUAGAAUUAGCUCUAUUUUUUAUGAACUUCCAAUGUAUGUGCAAAAAUACAUUCCCUAGUUUUUGUUUACCACCUCAUUGUCUCUAAUUCUCAAGCAAAAUGUCUGUAGAGGAUGGUUCACAAGUAAUUCUAUUUUAAAAGGUCCUUACUGUUAAAUUUCAUCUCACAUGGGGAUCAUUUGAGGGUGACUCGACUACUGGCUCACUAGCCUGCUAAGGAGUAUGUAUUAUAUGUAGCAAGGAUGUUAAAGCCUUUUCUCAUCAAAAUUGAGGUAGCACAUUAUUGUUCAUAUACAUAUGUAUCACUUGAUAAGCAUGGAUAUUGGAUAGGUUGAGUCCCAGUGAUGUAUGUAUUAUCAUAUGAAUAAAUAGAUUCUAAACAUGCAUGGUUAGAUAUGCAUGGCCAAGUCUGAACUUGGUGUUAAGUAUAUGUCAAUGUAUACAAAUAGAAUGGUUCAUGCAGUAAUGUAUAUAAUAGGAAUGUUCAGGUACUGUAUGCAUAGCUUGAAUACCAACCAAAGCACUAAAAAAGUAUUCCUGUAAAAGUAGUCAAGAGCACAGAAUCCAAAAGGCUGCAUUUUAAAGUAAUUUUUCAAGAAAUUAAAGAAAAUAAAAGCCAUCCUCAAAAGUCAAAUCUCUUUCUAUAGUCAUCUUAAAACAGACUAUAUUGAUCAUCACAGUGCAAUUUAAUUCUUAUUCAUGAGAUAAAAGUUCAAAUAAUAGAAAGCAAUGGCAUCACAUAUUUGACAGGUAUAGAAAUGAAACGCAUCAUGUAAAGAAGACAUUUUUGUAGUAAAAUUAAAGAAAACUUCAAUUCUGGAAUUAAAAAUCUGUGUUCGAAGUUGACUUCUACAAAAGAAUCUGCUCGAUCUUUAUUUUAUUUUCUUUCCACUGAAAAUGGUGAUGUCAUAAAUGGCGUACAUGAUACUUACAAAUAGAAACUACUCUCAUAAUGGCAAAAGCAAAGAUAAGCAAUAAAAAUUAUCAACGGGAAAAGGGAACCAACCCGUCCAGUUGUUAUAUUCACCAUGUGAACAGAGCUAUCCUUUGAGCCAGUCAUAGCAAUAGUAGAAUCAGAAGUUAUUGAUAAGCAUGUCAGUCCAUCAGUAUGAUAUGGAUGUCCUGCAAAAUUAAUUGUUUCACCAUCAGUUAACAAAUACUUGAAAGGCAAAGUGUUCCCACUGAAUACAUAGCACAAAAAAAUAUAUAUAUAAACUGGGUCUAACUAAUACAACCAGCGAUAAUAAUUUAUAAUAACAGAUACCCAUUUCUCAUUUGAUCAGUAAAACUGAAAAUCAUAAGCAACAACGAAUCCAAAACCUUAAAGAUCACAAGAAGAUUCUAUAAUGUCUUCCCCCAUGACUCCAUAGAAAUGGAUGUUAGUAACUUUAUUAACCAAACACCAACUAGAUACCAAACCUGGUUACAAGAAUGAGGAGGCAGAGCUAUUAAAGAAUUCGGCAUUGGAAGUACGUAAAAAGCAUCUGAUAGAAUUAAAUUAAUGGUACAACAUGAUAAAAUUUCUCAUUUGGUUGUUCAAUACACAAAAAUGCCUGGUUUAGGGAUUCAGUUAUCCAAAAACUAGUAAACUAAAGAACAGUAUAUUCCUUUUGGCCAACUAAGAUUGAUUUUGCUGAAAGAGUAUUAACAACAAGACAUAUUUCAAAAUUUGGGUGAAAAUACAGGAAGAUCAAGCUUGAAAGGAAGCAAGAUUCUAGGUAGGUGCGGGACCCUUGGUGAAAGAACCUAGCAAAUAAGUAAUAAGAAAUGGCAAUUACAAAAAUCAACAAAUCUAAUCUUGAAAGUGCAGAAUAGAAAACUCUAACAAGUAAACAAAUUUAUUAGGUUAAUUAAGAACAGUCUCAAUCGAUAUCUCUAGAAAAGUAGCAUAUUUCUUGAAAUCCAAUACCUCAACAGAAAAUAAAUAAUACACAACUCUCUUCUUUCUCAAAAGGAAAAACAUGAAGCUAAACUGGCAUCACAUAAGACCUAUCCUAGGUGCAUUUCUUGGUCAAGCUAGCUGAAGCAGUGAAGCUAAACUGGCAUCACAGAAGACCUAUCUUAGGUGUCCUCAAUUAUGAAUAUCUAUCAAUUAAAUGACAUCAAACAUUGUCCACAUAGUUUAAUAGACUAAAAUAUUCGAAUUUAUCUUUGAAAGCAAUAAGAAAUGAUGUUGCUGUGACUUAUCCAAUUACAUUUUCUAGUUUUAUCAUCUGCUUAAACUUCAAUUAACAUAGUUCUUAGUACAGUAACUUGCUAACAGAAAAUGACUUCCUUCAUAGCAAGAAUAUUAUUCAGGUUGCUUAAGUCAUAGGCUAACCGAAACCAAGCCCAAUAACCAAUCUACCCAACAGUAGCUGCCCGAGCAGCCAAACUUAAGACCAUACUGGUUCCAAAAUUUUGUGAACCAAACACAUGAUUUAAGUAGACUUUUAAUCAGGUUGAUCUGAGAUUAUUAGGAUGGGUUUGUUCAACUUAUACUUUCAUUAGAUGAUUAUAACUUGACAUUGCAUCAUAUUUGUGUUAGAUCAGGAGCCCCCCUUGAAGCAAACAUGUUAUAUUUGGCUUGUGAAUACCCGCAUCCAAAUCUUUGGAUAAAUUCAAGUUGUCACCAGCGGUUGCCCAUCCAUCAAUCUGAACCUGACUCACAGUCGGAAUGAUAACCUAGCCAAGAAGUUGCAUUCUUAUGAAGAUCAAGAUGCACAAAAAAAAUUCAAGUUUGCUAUACCAAAUAAUGAUAUAAAAAAACUAGUCAAGGAGGUCAGCUGGAGGCUGGGUGGUUCCGACCAGUACUUGAUGAUGAACUGAAAUAAAAGGGAAUGUUAAGAUUAUAGAGUAUACAUGCAAGACACCUCCAUGGCCCCCAAAGAUAGAUAAAGCUUUUCUUACAUUCACUUCUUAUACUAGACUGCCACUCCAUUUCCGUUAGGAAACCGUUCAACAAAUACAGUGACAAAUAAUUUAGAAUUUACAGCAUUCAAAACCAUUCAAGUAUUCAACCUUGCAUUUGCAAUAUGAAUCCCCCUUUUAUGGAACUUAAAAAUGCCUACUUAGGUUUAAACUAUGGUAUGCUGUACCGUACCGAACCGAAUAGUACCGAGUGUACCAUACUGUACCAGUUCGGUACCGGUACCGGUGGCGUACCGGCACUCGAUACGCUAGACGUACCGUGUACCGUACCAUACUGACACUAUGCCAGUGUGGCAUCGGUACAGGAUCCGGUACCGGUACGGCAAACUUUUAUUUAAACAAAUUAAUUUCUAAGAAUACACGAUUUCAUAAAGUUUCUUUUUAAUCUUAUCAACAAAUAAAGCUUUAAAUACUCAUGUUAAGAGCUUGAUGAAGUUAUAGCUGAAACGUUAAUGGCAUCAAGAAUUAAAUCCAAAGAGCACCAAUAAUGCAUCUAUCAAAAGUUCCAAACCAAAACUUAUAAUGAGGAUUCUCCGCUGUCACAAAAACAGCCAUAGACAUAGGAGUACAUAGUUAUGUAUUUAGAAUGUAAUUGCAUGGUCCGUGUUGGGGACAAGGAAUUCUAUUUUAUUUUGAAAACUUAGCACAUACAUGCCUUAAGAGUAAGUUAACUUCCCCAUAUCAACAGCCUUCUUCCUUUUCCAUCUAGACAUUUUCCCAAGUCUAGCAAAACCUAGGAAGGAUGGUUGCACCCCAGUUACAUGAGCUCAAAUCAGUUAACCAAUACUGUACAUCUUCCACCUAGUCAGGUGGCCUCCAGGCUCUAUAGCAGGCCCCUCAAUUGCCCAAAAUUGCCUGGGCCAACAAUUAGGCACCAAUUUAGUGGGUUGAAGUUCAGUAGAGUCAAUUGUAAAACAUUCUAAAAGUUCAAUAGAAUGUAUGACUUGCAAAUUGAGCUAAGGUUAUCUAAAUUUAAAAAUAAAAUGACAAAAAUAUAGAAACUAAACAUGGUAAAAAUGAAGAUGUUGAGAUGAAUCUGGUAAGUUACCAAAGAAAAAAAAAUUAAAGGAGGCAUAGACUUGUCACUGAGGACCAGGUGAUGGAGACCAGACUAAGAUGGUACAGACAUGAGAAACAAAGCCAAGGAGGCUUCUAUGAGCAGAAGUGCUUCGAUUGGGAUCAUCAGUAAAAGGAGGGGAAAGCUUGCAGCAAAACCAAAAUAAAAUCUUUGAUAGGAAUAUUGGCUAAGAAGAAUUCAUAAAUCGAACCCUCAUAUUUGGGAUAAGGCUUGCCAAUUAUGGUUAAUAUUGAAAAUAGCGUAUCCCAAUUCCCAAGCAUGUUCCCCUAUUACUCUUGGGCAAUUUAGACAUCAUUCUUCAUCCAGGUGAUGAAAUUCAGAAUUCAGAAGGCUGACUUUGGCAUUCAUUUUUAUAGCUACAGACUUUUCUUGCUACCUAUAUGUCCAUGGGAGGAAACUCUGAGGCAUUUGAAAUUCAAGUUUAGCUCUAUGUAUAAAUCUCUUUUUUGUAAACUUGUUCCUAAGUUAACAUUUUAUUUCAAAUAUCUACCAUUACUCUUCAACAUAUUAUAGCUAGGUUUAGAAUUUCUCACCAUGUCCCUGAAGCAUGUCUACAGACAUGGUAUGUUGUACUGGCCCGAAUCGAACGGUACGGAAAGUACCGUACCAUACCGGUUCUAUAUUGAUACCUGGUACGGAUAGUGUACCGAUACUCGGUACGUCAAAAAAUUUCGUACCGUACCGACACUGUGCUAGUGUGGCACCGGUACGGGUCCAUUACCGAAACAGCGAACCUUGUCUACAGAUUUUGCCUCCACAAGCUCAUUGUUAUCUAAAUGUGCAUUUAUUGCCAAGACAAGCAAAAACUAACUAGCAGCUUGAGAAAGUCAUGUUUUCUUUUGAACAAGUUUCGUCGUCUCAGUACAGGACCCCUGUACUGGUAACAUCUUAGUACAAUAUUGACAUACCCAAUAUGGGGGUCGGUUCAGCGUACUGACACUCGAUACACCCCUCAUGCAGUGUACCAAUUUGGUACUGGUAUAGUACGGUAUGCCUAGUAUGCACUAGUAGCAAUCGAUGCGGUGUGCCAUGAUUUUGCAGCUUUGCAGUGUAAAAUCUGUCUUUAGAAAGAUUUGGCAGCAAACAAAGAGGAUGGUGUAAAGCGUGUUUUGCAUCUUUUGGUCUCAAGGACUAUGGAAGUCAGGAACAAUUGAGGUUGUAUGAAAAGAAUAGAGUAAAGGGAAAAAUAUUUCAUCAGCAGAAGAAAAAUUGAUAUAGAAAGAGGACACAUAGGUUAAUAACUUAAGUAGGAUCAGGGCUUCAAUGUGAUAGAAUACAGUUAUGAGUUAUAAUCAAAGGAUUAAAUGAAAGAUGAUUAAAAGGUGUUGCACACUGAUCUGAUGUCAUAUCUGAAAAUAACACAAGGAAGAUGGAUUAAAAGGAGAGGUUGAAGAAGACUAUGAGAGAAAAAACAUUAAAAGGCAAAUAUCGGAUCUUGGAAGGAUAUCAGUUAUCAGAUUUUGAAUUUGGUGUCUUAGCAGCAAUAAAUAAUUAAGGGCCCUGCCCAGAUGCCCUGCUAAACUAUCCACCGAAUAUACCAUAUAUGGUGGAUGGCUUGGAAGAGGUAGGCAAGGGAGUUGGCAUGAUGGCGGGAAGGGGGGUGGGGAGGUGAUACUGGAAACUUUGGUUGUACAGCCUCAGAAAAACUGGAAUACUGGAAAUCAUCUCUCAGAAAGAACCCAGUAUCCUCAUUUUUCAGGAUCGUAUGGUCUACAAGGCUCCCUGAUUCCCCCAAUUUUUCCUACUGUGGCCACUGGCCACCUUUCUCUCUUGAAAAUUCGGUUCUGUGGAGAGUUAUUCCUGGAUAAUUAGUCCAGGCAUCCAAGCAGGGCCUAAAGAAAGAAUGGGCUAGAUGAAUAUAAGAAAGAGAAGAGAAGAGAAAAAGAUGGUUUGAACCAACCACUUUCAGAAUUUACAUAAAAAAUAACUCUAAUUUCAUAAUUCCUCCACAUUCAUACAAAACAACUUCCAAGACAAGCCUAGUUGCAAUUUUAUCAAACCAAAUAAUUCCUAACCUUAUUAGUAGUAAGAUUCUUUUCCUUGUAUCUAACUUAAAAUAAAAUUCAUAAUCAAAUGUGAGACCUUUUAUUUAAAAUAAUUCACUAACUUAUGGUUAUGGCUAUGAAUGACUCAUCUAGAGAGAGGAUGUAUUCAUCACUUUGACCAAAUAUAUAUCACUUUAUUUGAAGUGCAAUCACUUACCACCCUAAGCUUUUGAAAUUAUAACCUCCUUAACAAACAAGCAAAAAAACAAAUCAAAAACAGCAAACAUCAGCUCCCAAAAGAUGAUUAUUUUUGCAUUAAUUGAAUCAUUCUAAAUGCAUAAAAUAAUGUUGUCUGAACCCUGUAACAUUGUUCACAUAGUUUUCUAGAUUACCAUAUAAAUUGCAUCCCUCAAUUCUCAAUGCCUGUUACUCUGCUUUGUGUUUCUGCUUCCAUGUAACCAAAAACUUUGCUUGCUUGAUUGGGUAACAUACAAAAGCACAAAAAUAGAGCGAGCCAAUUUGCAAAAUUGUACAAUGGUCGCACAUGCAUUCAAUAUGUCAAGACUUAAUAAUUAUUGUGCUUGGGCUCAAAAUGCCAUUUCAAUCAUAUGAUUUUUGUUAUCUUUCAUGUCCCUAAGUUUGAUUUUAAUAGAUAUUACUCAUUUUCAUUUAAAACAUAAAUUUUUUGUUGGAUGGUUUUGAUGGAUAUUUGGUAAAAUGGCAUUAUCAUAAAAGCCACAAAUGUGCACCUCAUAAGCUAAAAUUACGAUUUAAAUCCCUGAGUACUAUGUUUUUUCAUGUCCUGCAUAUUCAAGCAUUCCCAGUAGUUGUGCUCCUAGAGGAGAUUCAAUUGGCUUUAUUUGAUGUUUCAGGCUUACCCCAUACUAACCUACCAAAUAAUAGCUACCAUCCCAUAUCCAUAUCCAUGUACACAAAAGCACAAUUCAUAUCCAUGUUAGACCAACAAGAAGCACUCAGAAAACAUAAAAGGUGACUUCAGAAGAGGACAAAUCAUACCUCUAACAACAUGGAUACUCUCUCCAGUCCGAGGGUUCCAUAUCCUCAAUGAUGCAUCAUCAGAGCCAGUACAAAUAAUCUUACCUUCAAAGAACCAUGAUGUGGAAGUUGAUCAGCCUCGUUUGGUAUUUUGGUUGUAAUGAAGAAACAUCAACAAUUUACCACAAUAUAUUUAAGUACCAUCAGGAGUAAAAGAACCACAGGUGACACUGCUACUAUGACCAGAGAAUGUAUUGAGCCAAGCACUUUUGUCAGCAUUCCACAUCCACACAUUUGAAUCUUCUGAGCCUCCUAUUAUCAAGUGUCCUCUUGGAUGCCAUUUGAGCCACUGAGCAGUUCGAGCAAAAGAAAAUUCAGAGCCAUACAAUUUAACAUUAAAAAAGCAAGCAAGAAAAUUUGAUAUAUGCCAUCAAGCAUUCAUAAAUCUCACCUCAAAACCUUCUCCAGAACCUUCAAGCGUACAUUUAAGACUACCUAGAGAUGUAUCCCAUACAUGUACAACUCCAUCCAAACCUCCAGAAGCAAGUAACUGCCCAUCAGAGCUGAAGGCUACUGUAGAGACAGUAUCUCGAUGACCUGAGUAUAAAGAGCAACAGAAUGAAAAACUACAGUGAUACUGAUCUGAUUCCUACAUGAAAUGCAUGGGUGCAAGCAUUUGGAAGCAUUUACAUCCAUAUAACAGAGUCUAUGAAACAAGAACAAAUCUUAUUUGAGAUAGAGCACCCAGUUAUGGUCCAAUACAAUAUACAUUGUGAAAAACUAGAGUGCUUAUGGCAUAUCCCAGUAGCAGUGAAAGAUUAGAAAAUUUGAACCCAGCAAGAAGAGUACUAAUGGAAUAUUCCAGUAGCUACCACUAGGAUGACUCCACCACAAUCAGGAAAGUCGAUAUCCCAGUCCAGGAGACUUGAAUGACAACUUCAAUCAAGAUCCGAAGCUGAUGUAGAAUAUUGAGACUGAGUUACUUUCUAUAUUUCAUGAUAUAUUGUAGAUAUAAGGAUGAUAUAUGCUACCCCGAACAAAUCAUGAUUUUUCAUAUAUUAUGAAGAGAAUCCGAUGAUUGGUAGGAUUGACAGCUAGUAGUUGUAGGCAAAGCUUCAUAAGCCAGGAUUGCCUCCUCAACCGGCCAAGUUUAAAGCAAGGAAAGUCCAGGUGGAUGCACAACAAUAGAUAGAAUGAAACAUGCCACACUCACAUUUUGCCGAGCAACCAUGGAGGUCAAAGGAGAACAGGUCAUCAUUGCAGAGCUCCAUCUGAGAUAUCUUUUUUGACAGAGAUAUUUGACUAGAUAUUUUGGUCUAGUCAAGCAGGUAGGUCAAUGAUGGGCCCAAUCAAGCCACCCAAUAGAGCCAAGUAGGCAAGAGCAUCCAAGAAAAAGAAAGCAGUUUCUUAAAUCAACAAGGGAUAGGAAAGGAAACUACAGUUCCAUUGUAGAGAGUGGAUGAAGAGUUUGUUCACUUCGAUUCCCAAACUUGUGACCCUUAGAUAACCAGUUGCCUAGAUCAUCUUGCGAAACCAACGAUGAUAAUAAUGAUAAUUCAACCAAUAAUGGGGAAAGGGAGAAGGGGAGGGAGNNNNNNNNNNNNNNNNNNNNNNNNNNNNNNNNNNNNNNNNNNNNNNNNNNNNNNNNNNNNNNNNNNNNNNNNNNNNNNNNNNNNNNNNNNNNNNNNNNNNNNNNNNNNNNNNNNNNNNNNNNNNNNNNNNNNNNNNNNNNNNNNNNNNNNNNNNNNNNNNNNNNNNNNNNNNNNNNNNNNNNNNNNNNNNNNNNNNNNNNNNNNNNNNNNNNNNNNNNNNNNNNNNNNACGCCCUCCCUCCACUCUCUCCUCACCUCCUCCCACCUCCUCCCCUCCCUUCCUCCCUCUCCCUCCCUCCCUCCCUUCCUCUCCCUCUCCCUCUCUCUCUUUUCCCCUCUCUCCCUCUCUUUUCCCCUCUCCCCCUCCCUCUCCGACUUUUGGCUGUCGAUAAAGCCCAAAAAGGCACGACACAGGAGUGUGUCAUACUAUCAAGCAACCGAUAUGGAUACUAGUACCAGUACAACCAACCUUGAUAGGGACCAUGGUACAUGACCUAGUACAACGUGCAAGGAUAGAUUGCAUAUAAGAGAUGAGCCCCUCAUGUGGUUUGGGACAUGGCACUACAAAUGAUCUCGUGGAUAGAGUAGGGUCCCUAAACGUGUCCGGAUUGAAGUCGUACACCAAAUCUUACUUCACAUAGUCAAACUAUGACCUGUAUGGAUAUCCUUCAUCUGAGGCAUCAUAUUCGAGUGGCUAUUACCCUCCACAUCUUUAGGCAACUUACGGGUCAGAUUUUGUUAUCUUAAUCUUUGCAUGACCAGUCCAGUAUCAGAAACAGAAUCAGUAUCCGGGUGGUCAUCCAAGGGCAAAGAUUAUGGAUCACAGGACUGGGACUAUAGUAUGCCGUACCAGCCCAAACCGUACCGUACCGGUUCUGUACCGGUACCGGUAUAGGUGGCAUACCAACACUCGAUAUGCCAAAAAAAAUUUAUACCAUACCGUACCAACACUAUGCUAGUGUGGCACCGAUACGGAGUUUGGUACCAAGACGGCGAACCUUGACUGGGACACAAAUUAUUUGAAAAGUUGGAGUAAUAUCUCAGGCCCAGACUAUGACCAGGAUCCCAGCGUCUACAAGCAACACAGGCACUCCACAUAAUUUUAGAUGUUGGUACCUAUUUUGUACUUCAAAUCCAUUUGAUAUAUUGUAUGCAUAUUCAUUAUAUCUACUCAUGCAUUAAAUUAUAUUACAAUUGCAUUAAUUUAUCGAUUAUAGCAUGUUUAUCUAGACUUGGGACCAAUCUGACAUAAAAGACAUAAAAAUAACAUUGAAAUCUUAAAUUAAACAACCACAAUCAUUAAAAUAAUCAGUAAAAAUAACAAAAAAAUUAAAGAACAAAACACUGGGAAACGGCAUACUAAUAUGAAACCGGAACACCCUUUAUACCAUGUACUAGUACAACACCAAACCCAUAACAUACUGUACCAGUCACCGACCGAUACAACACCUAGUAUUGAUUUGGUGGACCUUGAAUAGCAGAGCUGCAAAAUAGUGCAAUUUAGACAACAAACCAGGCAAGAGUACCACGUUGACAAAAAAGCGAAAUAUACACUCCCCAUAUGGAAUAAUAUUGUAGAAUGAUAUCCACAUAGUAACAUGAUCAAGGUUAUAAAGGAUCAAAUAUGUAUCAACCACGAGUGGGUACAACAUGCGGCGUAUCAAGGAUCAUACCAAAAAAGGAUACUGAUGGGUAUGCAUUGAUCCAAAUACCAUUAGGACAUUUUUAGCCUCCUAACUCUAGUAUUGGAUUUUUUUAGCAUGUUUUCUUAUCCAAAUGCUAUGUUCUUGCAAGAAAUAAGAUAGUACCAGGUUAAAUGCCCCAGUCAAGGUUCUUCAUGCGCUAUAUGUGCAUAAAUAUCAACUUGCCAACUAAAAUACAUUAAGAGAUAUUGUGUUACCAUUAGCAAUUGGAAUGAAAGCAGAGAAAAAAGUUUAUAUUCAUAACAUAACAAUAGCAGCACCUACAACCCAAAAUCACUCAAGUGAUCAUGUACUUGGACUAAGUUAAUUAUCCAAACGCAGCUUUUACCAAUAUUUUAUAAAUCUUCAAAACGUUUUAGCCUCUUCAAGUGCUAGUUCGUUAAUAUGCACCCCUUAGAGCAUUGACCUAAUUUCAAUUUACGAUCUCUUCUAUUUUGAUAAUUUGACAGCAUUUUUUAAGCAUAUAAACAUUUUUAAUUAAUAAAAAAAUAGAUAAUUUUGCAAUUUAUGAUAUUUCAGGCCUUGCCUGGCUGGAACCUAAGCACGUACAAUUCAUGCCAAUUGUGGAUUAAAUUUUGGUAGCAUGCAUGUAUCACUAGUGCAGAAAUAGUUGUAGAUUGGUCAACCUAGUAUGAAACCCUUUGUAGCAACAGAUCCCUCUUACUCUUGCUUCCACCUUCAAAUGGUGAGGAACAGAUUGGUCAACCUAAUAUGAGAACCUUUAUAGCAAUUGGUCCCUCUUCCUCUUGUUUCCACCUUCAAAUGGUGAGGGGAAACAAAAAAGAGAGACAAUCACCCUUAAACCACUUCCCAAGCUGACCCAAGUGUGCCACUUGGUUUGAGAGUGGACCGAGGUCAAAUAAGCAUGAACUGAUUGAUACACCCAGAACUGCUCUAUACACCUUCAAUAUAGGCAGUUUGGACAGCUUUCAUCCAAAUCAAACCUCCCUAUAUCAAGGAAGCCCUGGUACAGUAUGUUCCAAGAGGUACAUGUCAAACUGCUCAGUAAUACCAUAGAUUAACAACUUAACUUAAUCAACAUGCUUCUCCCUGUUAUAUGAGGUCAGAUUAAAGGAGAAAGUUUUGUGAUCAAUCAAAGCCUAAGAAAGCUUAAUGGUUGGUUCUCAAACUUCUAGCAGAUCAUAAACCCUUUGAAUCAAUGUUGAAUUUCUCGACAACGCAUUUCUGAACAAAAAAUAAACUUGUCUCAAAACCUGAAAAACCAAUUGAUGGGCAUGGACUACCUUAUUUCUAAGCAGUAUAAAUCCAUGAAAACACCAAACAACCUUCAAAGUACCUCUACUCUUCCAACUUCCAAAGAGCCUUGUCAUAGAGGGAAAAAGAUGAAAAUUAAUGUAAGGAAUUGCAUUCAUCUUUGCAACAGAAACUACGAGCCAAAUACCAAUUGAGUCAGAAUCCCAAUACAUAGCGACCAUACGAAUUCAUGAUUCAUAGAAUCUGUUUGCCAAAAGACCACAAUUUUCAGAGGGAAUCAUGUCAAAAAUAAGAUUUUCCUCCAACGACUUCAAUGAUUCAACUCAACAAUUCAAUCAUAUCAGAGGGGAAAAAAAAUGCCACACCAUUUGCAUAUAAAAAAACAAGACAGCACUAGGGGCCUAAUAAAGCAUGAGGCAGCAAAUGUAUGCAAAAUACCAGAAAAUAACUGAUUCAGUAUAUGAAUACAGACACCUAACCAAAUCAUUUUUCAAUUCACAAAUUUAAAUGUGAAGACCUAAUCUGUCAGAGUUACCUUUUGAUACCUAAAAUAAGAAUAUUAGUAUCAAUUUCUUCUCAAGUUAUAUUGAUUACAGCUAUACACAUUUUUAUACGUCAAUUAAGCAUGGUGUUGGCAACUAACAGACUACAAAGAGCAGGUACCUGAGCAUGGCAACAAUUAUAUGUAUAAUACAAAAUUUGGGUUUUUAAACAUGUCUGACUACUUGGAUACUUCAUGACACUUCUUCACACUUCAAGCUAGUGAAACAGGAUGUCAUCAAAGUUUCAUAUCAAAUCUAGCAUUUAUACCUAAAAGUAAUCAGUCUAAUGUGAAAAUCAGCAAAAGUUACAUCAAUUCUAUGAAACUACAAAACAAUAGGUCCAAAAAAUUAUCAAUUAUUCUCUAAAAAUACAUCAAUUAUAAAAAUUAAUCUGUGAUCUUUACAGACACAUCUAUGUAAUAUGGAUGCAUCCCGUGGCCGGAUGUUGAAGGUUUCCAUGUUCAAGUGUUCUGGAGACUUGGCCACUUGACACCUGGAUCACGUGUGCAGGUAAAUUUUGACAAAGACAUAAAGAUUUGCUUGUAGAAAUAAGUGAUUAACUUAAUACUCAGAUGAAGAAGCAAUCUUUCAAACAGUAUUCCUGAUUUGACACAAUGAAAUCCAUUGUAAGAUCCGUCAGUUAGAAAUAGUACAAUACCCUCAUUCAAAGGUUUCAAACUUCAAAGAGUAGAAAAGAAAGCUAUUAGUGCAUCAGGAAUGGAGAUGUUGCCAGUGACAAAUCAUUUUCCUAAAGUUCAUAGAGAGAGCAAAAAGAAAUUGCCUGCAACAAAUCAUGUUCCUAGAGUUUAUUGAGGAAAGCAAAAAAAAUAAAUAAGCCAAGUUUCCAUUGCAGAAACACGUCUGACUUAUAGAACAAACCUUGGAGCUCUAGACCUGGAUCUGCAGAACUAAUCUUCCACAAAAAUCCUCUAUCAUCCUUACCCCCUGUAGCCACAAGAGAUGCAUCUGUUGGACUGCAAGCGACGGUGUAGAGUUCAUCUACAUCAAACAGAUGUAGCAGUCAGAAAAUUUUACAAGUUGUUUUAAAUUAUUUUUAUUUCAGCAAAUAGAAGGCUAACAGAAGCACUACAAAGCAGAAACAAGCAUGGCUUCUCAGAAUCAAUCAAAAAAGAGCCUAAUGAAGUUGUGAAAACAAAACCAGUUUUCAGGUUAAAACCAGUGCAAACCAAAUAUGAUGCAUAAGAACAGCAAAAUGGAACAUCCAAAGGGAAUCUGGUUUAGUCAACUUAAGCAGACCAAUCCCCGGACAAAAUAUUUCACUGUGCACACUUAUUAAUAAUGAUUAUAAAAACAACUAACACCAUUAGUUUUAUCCCCUUCCGUUUCCAUGUAUUUGUUUUUUUUUUUGUUCCUUAAACCAUACCAAGUGACUUAGUUAACUAGUCUAAAUUCCAUUGACGUUAUGCUUUAAUAAGAAAAUGUACAGUUUUUUAUGGUCUGAUAACUAGAGAUUAAACUCCUUAAGAAGAAAUGAUAGAUAACAUGUUAUCAGAGUUGUCACCUGUAUUAGCCAAACCACUCAGUUUAGCCUGAAGUACCUAAAAUGUUAUAGGACUUGUCACCUGUGUUAGCCAAAUCACUCAAUUUAGCCGAAAGUACCUGAACUUAAUACUCAAACACAAA
rnacentral:lncRNA from 1 species